rnacentral:tRNA from 1 species
UAUAUCUUAGUAUACGAUGUAUAAAAGUUUUUGAUACUUUAGGAGAUAGUUUAAUUCUAUCAGAUAUAA